rnacentral:rRNA from 1 species
UACGAAGGGGGCUAGCGUUGUUCGGAAUUACUGGGCGUAAAGCGCGCGCAGGCGGCUAUCCAAGUCAGUGGUGAAAGCCCGGAGCUCAACUCCGGAACUGCCAUUGAAACUGUUUAGCUUGAGGACGAGAGAGGUGAGUGGAAUUCCCAGUGUAGAGGUGAAAUGCGCAGAUAUCAGGAGGAACACCGGUGGCGAAGGCGGGUCUCUGGGCCGAUACUGACGCUGAGGAGCGAAAGCGUGGGGAGCAAACAGG